GGGAAGGGGUGACUAGUGACAGAGUGAGGAAGGGGGUGACUAGUGACAGAGGGAGGGGUGACUAGGGACAGAGUGAGGGAGGUGGUGACUAGUGACAGUCACCACCUCCCUUACUCUGUCACUGUCACCACCUCCCUCACUCUGUCACUGUGUCACCCCCUCCCUCUGUCACUGGUCACCCACUCCCUCCCUCACUCUGUCACCAGUCAUCCCCUCACUCUGUCACUAGUAACCCCUUCCUUCCC